AACGAACGCUGGCGGCAUGCCUAACACAUGCAAGUCGAACGAGACCUUCGGGUCUAGUGGCGCACGGGUGCGUAACGCGUGGGAACCUGCACUUAGGUUCGGAAUAACUCCCCGAAAGGGGUGCUAAUACCGGAUAAUGUCUUUGGACCAAAGAUUUAUCGCCUUUGGAUGGGCACGCGUUGGAUUAGCUAGUUGGUAGGGUAAAAGCUUACCAAGGCGACGAUCAAUAGCUGGUCUGAGAGGAUGAUCAGCAACACUGGGACUGAGACACGGCCCAGACUCCUACGGGAGGCAGCAGUGGGGAAUAUUGCACAAUGGGCGAAAGCCUGAUCCAGCAAUGCCGCGUGAGUGAUGAUGUCCUUAGGGUUGUAAAGCUCUUUUACCCGGGAUGAUAAUGACAGUACCGGGAGAAUAAGCUCCGGCUAACUCCGUG
rnacentral:rRNA from 1 species